UCGCGAAGGAACCUUACCUACCCUUUACAUGGUCGGAAUCCUGCUGAGAUGUGCGAGUGCUCGAAAGAGAACCGGCGCACAGGUGCUGCAUGGCUGUCGUCAGCUCGUGUCGUGAGAUGUUGGGUUAAGUCCCGCAACGAGCGCAACCCUUGUCCUUAGUUGCUACGCAAGAGCACUCUAAGGAGACUGCCGGUGACAAACCGGAGGAAGGUGGGGAUGACGUCAAGUCCUCAUGGCCCUUAUGGGUAGGGCUUCACACGUCAUACAAUGGUCGGAACAGAGGGUUGCCAACCCGCGAGGGGGAGCUAAUCCCAGAAAACCGAUCGUAGUCCGGAUUGCACUCUGCAACUCGAGUGCAUGAAGCUGGAAUCGCUAGUAAUCGCGGAUCAGCAUGCCGCGGGAAUACG
rnacentral:rRNA from 1 species